UACGGAGGGUGCGAGCGUUAUUCGGAAUUACUGGGCGUAAAGCGCGUGUAGGCGGGAAGGCAAGUCUGAUGUGAAAGCCCCGGGCUUAACCUGGGAAGUGCAUUGGAAACUGCCAUUCUUGAGUGCUGGAGAGGAAGGGGGAAUUCCCGGUGUAGAGGUGAAAUUCGUAGAGAUCGGGAGGAAUACCAGUGGCGAAGGCGCCCUUCUGGACGGCAACUGACGCUGAGACGCGAAAGCGUGGGGAGCAAACAGG
rnacentral:rRNA from 1 species